UAAUACGUAGGGGGCGAGCGUUACCCGGAAUCACUGGGCGUAAAGGGAGCGUAGGUGGCCUAACAUGUCAACUGUGAAAACCCGGAGCUCAACUCCGGACUUGCAGUUGAAACUGGUAGGCUUGAGGACGGUAGAGGAAGACGGAACUGCCAGUGUAGGGGUAAAAUCCUUAGAUAUUGGCAGGAACGCCGGUGACGAAGGUGGUUUUCUGGGCCGGUUCUGACACUGAUGCUCGAAAGCCAGGGGAGCGAACGGG
rnacentral:rRNA from 1 species